rnacentral:rRNA from 1 species
UUGAACGCUGGCGGCAGGCCUAACACAUGCAAGUCGAACGGUAACAGGAAGCAGCUUGCUGUUUCGCUGACGAGUGGCGGACGGGUGAGUAAUGUCUGGGAAACUGCCUGAUGGAGGGGGAUAACUACUGGAAACGGUAGCUAAUACCGCAUAACGUCGCAAGACCAAAGAGGGGGACCUUCGGGCCUCUUGCCAUCGGAUGUGCCCAGAUGGGAUUAGCUAGUAGGUGGGGUAACGGCUCACCUAGGCGACGAUCCCUAGCUGGUCUGAGAGGAUGACCAGCCACACUGGAACUGAGACACGGUCCAGACUCCUACGGGAGGCAGCAGUGGGGAAUAUUGCACAAUGGGCGCAAGCCUGAUGCAGCCAUGCCGCGUGUAUGAAGAAGGCCUUCGGGUUGUAAAGUACUUUCAGCGGGGAGGAAGGGAGUAAAGUUAAUACCUUUGCUCAUUGACGUUACCCGCAGAAGAAGCACCGGCUAACUCCGUGCCAGCAGCCGCGGUAAUACGGAGGGUGCAAGCGUUAAUCGGAAUUACUGGGCGUAAAGCGCACGCAGGCGGUUUGUUAAGUCAGAUGUGAAAUCCCCGGGCUCAACCUGGGAACUGCAUCUGAUACUGGCAAGCUUGAGUCUCGUAGAGGGGGGUAGAAUUCCAGGUGUAGCGGUGAAAUGCGUAGAGAUCUGGAGGAAUACCGGUGGCGAAGGCGGCCCCCUGGACGAAGACUGACGCUCAGGUGCGAAAGCGUGUGGAGCAAACAGGAUUAGAUACCCUGGUAGUCCACGCCGUAAACGAUGUCGACUUGGAGGUUGUGCCCUUGAGGCGUGGCUUCCGGAGCUAACGCGUUAAGUCGACCGCCUGGGGAGUACUGCCGCAAGGUUAAAACUCAAAUGAAUUGACGGGGGCCCGCACAAGCGGUGGAGCAUGUGGUUUAAUUCGAUGCAACGCGAAGAACCUUACCUGGUCUUGACAUCCACAGAACUUUCCAGAGAUGGAUUGGUGCCUUCGGGAACUGUGAGACAGGUGCUGCAUGGCUGUCGUCAGCUCGUGUUGUGAAAUGUUGGGUUAAGUCCCGCAACGAGCGCAACCCUUAUCCUUUGUUGCCAGCGGUCCGGCCGGGAACUCAAAGGAGACUGCCAGUGAUAAACUGGAGGAAGGUGGGGAUGACGUCAAGUCAUCAUGGCCCUUACGACCAGGGCUACACACGUGCUACAAUGGCGCAUACAAAGAGAAGCGACCUCGCGAGAGCAAGCGGACCUCAUAAAGUGCGUCGUAGUCCGGAUUGGAGUCUGCAACUCGACUCCAUGAAGUCGGAAUCGCUAGUAAUCGUGGAUCAGAAUGCCACGGUGAAUACGUUCCCGGGCCUUGUACACACCGCCCGUCACACCAUGGGAGUGGGUUGCAAAAGAAGUAGGUAGCUUAACCUUCGGGAGGGCGCUUACCACUUUGUGAUUCAUGACUGGGGUG